GAGGAGGGCGCCGGGGCGGAGCAAAGAAACGUGUACGAGGAUUGGCUCUCCCCGCCUCGGGGCGGGGCUGCAAUGGCCAGCGGAAGCGGCGAGGUCUGGGCGGAGCACUGCGGCGGCGGCAGAGUCACCGCCCUGCGUGGUCACGUGCGUUCGCGGGGGAGUUGGCGCGGGAGGCGGCUCUGGAGAAGCAGAAGGACACCGAGGCGUCAGGUUGGGGUGUAUAUCGCUGAGCCGGAGAGACUGUCAGGGAAGGGAAAGCCCCGGAGCGGGGUACUGACUGAGUCAGGGAACGACCUAGGACAGCGCAUGAGGGACGCCAGCGCACCACACACUGGCCACAGGCCUGCAGCAGGCCUGCGCCAGUCAGUGGCCCGCACACAAACUUAGAAGCCUUGAGACAAGGACAGAAACCGAAAGGCUUGACCGAGACCACAAAAGACAUUUGAAUACUGAGAAAGUGUGAAACACAAAGGUGGAGACUAAAGUGAGAGAUUUCGGAUACGCUAAUCAGACAGAGUCCUCCUUUGUAAUAAUCAAAUGCAAAAGGAAGAUGGAAAAGAUUGACAGCACUCUGAGGAGCCUCCUAAAAUCCAGGAGCAGCAUUUCAAAUGCUGAGUAAGAUUGCACCCUAUGAACAACUCCAGCUGGUGGAGAUCUAGGCUGUGUUCCAUCGUUGGCUACAGCAGCAGUGCCCUGAACUACCCGGUGAAUUUUAGCCUUCAUUCAGCAGAAGUGACAGCCUGUAACACCAUCCUGGGGCCAGGCCUUGAGCCGAAGAUACAAAGAUGAAGAGAAUACAGCUCCUGACUUAAGGAUUGUAUCUAAUGGCAGAACUGCAAAGCAGCAUCUCUGUUGCUCAGGGAAUGACCCACCUGGGCAUGCUGCACUGUCAGGAUCAGGCAUGGAGAGAUGGACAGCACGCGGUGGGCUGUGUGUGGCACCCUGGCUGAGCCCCGAGGCUGAGGAGAGGCUGCCAUUAAAGGGAAUGUCGCUGGCUAGGGCCCAGGCCUCCCAAACGUUAGCAGAAGCUGCCGAGAAACAGCUUCACGAAGUGAGGCCUCGGCUCACGGAGAACAAAAUGCUGCAAACAGACAUUAAAUGUCCCAUGUUGCAUCAUGUGUACGUACAGCUUGGACUCUAAGAUUUAUAGCUCUUGGAUUUUAUCUGUUUCAUCUCCAGUGACUCUAUAUUGUUUUCGUCUCUCUGGGCAAAAAGGUGCCUUUCCUUUCAGGAGGUUUUCUUUUCUAAGCUGCAGUUCUAAACGUUUCUUACCUUGGUUAUC